UACACUCCUACGGGAGGCAGCAGUGGGGAAUAUUGGACAAUGGGCGCAAGCCUGAUCCAGCCAUGCCGCGUGAGUGAUGAAGGCCCUAGGGUUGUAAAGCUCUUUCACCGGUGAAGAUAAUGACGGUAACCGGAGAAGAAGCCCCGGCUAACUUCGUGCCAGCAGCCGCGGUAAUACGAAGGGGGCUAGCGUUGUUCGGAUUUACUGGGCGUAAAGCGCACGUAGGCGGACUAUUAAGUCAGGGGUGAAAUCCCGGGGCUCAACCCCGGAACUGCCUUUGAUACUGGUAGGCUUGAGUUCGGGAGAGGUGAGUGGAAUUCCGAGUGUAGAGGUGAAAUUCGUAGAUAUUCGGAGGAACACCAGUGGCGAAGGCGGCUCACUGGCUCGAUACUGACGCUGAGGUGCGAAAGCGUGGGGAGCAAACAGGAUUAGAUACCCGGGUAGUCCCAUG
rnacentral:rRNA from 1 species